GGGGAAUCUUCCGCAAUGGGCGAAAGCCCGACGGAGCAAUACCGCGUGAGGGAAGACUGCCUAUGGGUUGUAAACCUCUUUUUUCAGGGAGGAACAAAAUGACGUGUACCUGAAGAAUAAGCAUCGGCUAACUCCGUGCCAGCAGCCGCGGUAAGACGGAGGAUGCAAGUGUUAUCCGGAAUCACUGGGCGUAAAGCGUCUGUAGGUGGUUUAAUAAGUCAACUGUUAAAUCUUGAGGCUCAACUUCAAAAUCGCAGUCGAAACUAUUAGACUAGAGUAUAGUAGAGGUAAAGGGAAUUUCCAGUGGAGCGGUGAAAUGCGUAGAUAUUGGAAAGAACACCGAUGGCGAAAGCACUUUACUGGGCUAUUACUAACACUCAGAGACGAAAGCUAGGGUAGCAAAUGGGAUUAGAUACCCCAGUAGUC
rnacentral:rRNA from 1 species